GACUUUGUGGUCGAGUGGUAAAGACACUUGCCCAUCAUGCUGGAGUCCCAUGUUUGAUCCCUAGUCGAGGAGCU